GUCCAGCUGUGUGGAUGCAAAAGCAACCCGAUGCAAGCAGUGAACUGGAUGCUGAUUGUUUCGUCAUCAGCUUCGGGAGAGAUUUCAUUUCUUGAAGGGGUGGCUUUUGUUUGCGUGGUCCUUCCGAUGCUGCCCUUCAGGGCUGCCCUUCCUUCUUCUGCCACCGUCAGUGUGAAUCUACUGUGAUCGCUACACUGUUGUGCCCGGCUGUACUGUGAAAGAGAAGUCUGCCUGUGGAGAUUUUCCACUUCUCGGUCACAGAUCUUUUUAGAGUGCGCAGGAGCUGAACGAGCCUGGAUCAGCUGUGUUUGGGAGGUGUUUAAAUGGGGCGAAAGUCUCAAGCCGGGGAAAGACAAAGCCUUUCAGGGAAAACAGAGGCCUGAUCCAGCACAGCAGAGGAGGAUUAAGUGGCUGUAAAGGAAAACCUCGAUACUGGCAGGGAAAGGCACCUGAGGUCCAGAGAGGUUUAACUCCUCGCUCAGCUGAUUCUCAUAAGUGGUGGGACGUCUGCAGCUCGAAGCCUGUGUGCUGAAUCACAGUGAUGUACUCCUUCUCGGUGAGAUCUGCUAAGCAAGCAUUGAGGCAAAAGAUAUGCUAG